rnacentral:lncRNA from 1 species
UCGGGGCUGCCCCUGUGGUGCCCUCUCCCAUUUGUGACCUGAGACAGAUAUCUGCCCAGGACUUCCAGCAAUAGUUAAUAUUAACAGAGACAGAAAUAAAGGUAAUGACCAUUGUAGGAGGUGACCCUUAGGGGACAAGAAAGAAGUGGGGGUGAAAUGUGUCCAAGGCACUGCCUGUCCCACACCUGAGGCUACAGAAGUCACUUUUGUCCCCUUGCUCCUCGGGACGGUUCUCCCCGGGGCCAGCAUCACAGCAUGCCACAUUGCCACCCCUAUUCCUCUCUAUUCUUCCCCCUCCCAGCCUGCCGUGGAUGCUCACGUCUGGGUCCACCCUUGCCUCCCACUGUUUCCAGUGCCACCCCAAGUUGGGGCAGCCAGACCCACUGCACAGGAAGUCCUGCCCUAUACAAGCUCUGCUAGAUUCGGCUGGUCCCUCCUGCUACGUCGGGGUGAUGCUCAGCCCCACCCAGCAUCUGUUUGUGGAUGUCUGAGUGUGGCCCCAGCCACCUCUCCAAGCCAGGCUGCUCCGGGGCCCUGCUCCUGCCCAGUGUGUGCCCCAGCAAGCUCCCUCUUAGGGUGAAUUCGCCUGCUUUCUCUCUCUUGUUAAGACCUGGUGGUCCUCAGAAGAAUGGUCUCUGAAAGAUGUCCACAUCCUCCUCCUGAAUCCUGUGACUAUGUAGGUUAUAUAGCAGAGGAGGAUUAAGGUUGCAGAUGGAUUAAGAUUGCUAGUCAGCUCAUUUUCAGAUAGGGAGACUUUCCUGGAUUAUCCUGGUGGGCCCAACGUAAUCACAAGGGUCCUUAACCGUGGAAGCUGGAGGUAGAAGAGGAUGUGAGAGUGACACAGUGAUGUGAUGUGACCAGGAUGAGGUCUGAAGCCACUGGCUUUGAAGAUAGAGGAUGUGGCAGCCUCUGCCAAUGGGAAGGGUGGCGACACGGACCUUCCCUGGAGCCUCAGAGGAGACACAGCCUGCCGGCAGCUGGCUUCAGUCCCAUGACACCCAUUUCUGACUUCAGAUCUCCAGAACUAUAAGAUAGUGAAUUUGUGUGGUUUUAAGCCGCUAAGUGGUGGUGAUUUGUGACAACAGCAAUAGGAACCUAUUGCAGAACCCCCUUCUGAAAUGGUACUCCCUGGAGGCCACCAGCCUCGUCCUUGACUGUGACCUACUUCGGCCCCUGCUGUAGUGGGCUCCCACUGGAAACCACCCUUCCCUGUUGGAUGGCCCACACUGCUCAGCUUCUGUUCUCCUGCCUGAGGGAUUUCCUUUUCUGAGCUCAGGGUCAGGAGCGCCAGCCUCAUGGGUGGGGCCAGAGCACUGUGCUCAGAGGGCCGCAGCCUUGGAGACAGAAGCUCUGCAGUUGCUAUCUAGGAAUUGUGAAUAAUUCCAUGCUUGAACUUGUGCUUUGCAGAUGAAGCCCGAUGGGACACUGGUGCUCAGAGCCUGGGCACCGGCUCUGGAAGGU